AUUCCAGCUCCAAUAGCGUAUAUUAAUGUUGUUGCAGUUAAAAAGCUCGUAGUUGGAUUUCUGGUGGGAGCGGCCGGUCCGCCGUAAGGUGUGUACUUGGUUGUCUCCUGUCAUCCUUGUGGGAACUGCUCUGGCAUUAAGUUGUCGGGGUUAGGGAACACAUCGUUUACUGUGAAAAAAUUAGAGUGUUUAAAGCAGGCUUAUGCCGUUGAAUACAUUAGCAUGGAAUAAUAAGAUAGGACUUUGGCGUCUAUUUUGUUGGUUUCUAGGUGUUAGAUAAUGAUUAAUAGGGACAAUUGGGGGGAUUCGUAUUACGGCGUCAGAGGUGGAAUUCUUGGAUUGCCGUACGACGAACUACUGCGAAAGCAUUUCUCAAGGAUGUUUUCAUCA
rnacentral:rRNA from 1 species